GGCAGUGAUAGCUCAGAGGUUAAGCUUUUGGACUUCUGAUAGGAUGGUCAUGAGUUCAAACCCCAGAACUGCCA